CUUCACUAUGUGCCAGAGUCUCUUCAUCGCGCCUCCAACCCUAACCCAAGAGUUUCAUCGCCUUUCUAACCCCUCCUUCAACGCUUCCUCCGUCGCUGCUCCCUCCUCAGCUCUCCUUCCUUCUCAAGUAGCAGACAAAAAAAUACUCCUCGCUCCGCCGUUGAAGUUGCAAGUAUCUUACAACGAAGCUAUCUCUAGUGGUUCGAGCUUCAAGGAGGUGCAGUGGGUCAAUGAGCAGAUCAAUGAAGAGGACGAGGAGGAGCUUGAGGUGGUGGCUUGUCAAGCUAGCUCUGACAACAACGACAAAGUCGGAAAUGAUAAUCCGCACGAUGACGACAAAGAUCCUUCCGCAACCAAAGAUGUUGAUGAGGAUGAGCAGGGUGAAGAUGUUAUUGAUUCUGGCAAGCGUGAGAAAGCUAGAUUGAAAAAAAUGUAGAAAAUGAAGAAGCAGAAGAUUCAGGAGAUAUUGGAUGCACAAAAUGUAGCCAUAGAUGCCAACAUGAACAAUAGAGAAAAAGGAAGACUGAAGUAUUUCUUAUAGCAGACUGAGCUAUUUGCACAUUUUACAAAAGGUGAUCAAUCUUCAUCUCAUAAGGCAAGAGGGAGGGCCGCCAUGCAUCAAAAGUGACAGAAGAGGAGGAAGAUGAAGAAUACCUAAAAGAAGGGGAAGAUGGUUUAUCAAACACUCAUCUCGUGACACAACCAUCAUGUAAAUUUCUUGUGUAUAUGUGUUGAUUAGAUAUUUUUCAAGGCUAUAUUUUUAGUGUCUCACAUUCAUAGAUAUACCAUUUUACCUUGCCAUUUCUUUUUACACAUGGAGAACAUUCUAUAUUGAUUUUGAAGUUUGCCAUUUUGCUUCAUGGUUUGUCCUUUGGGGUUUCACAUGUGCUAGAGUUAUACAUCAUUGAACUUUUCUCUACACACUUUUCUCUCUAGUUGUUUUAUUGUAAUGUAUGUCAUCAAAGCUAGUCAUCAGAAGUCUACCGAUUUGAUCUUCAAU